rnacentral:rRNA from 1 species
GCUUACGACCACACCGGCUGAGUACGCUGAUCUCGUCUGAUCUCGGAAGCUAAGCAGGGUCGGGCCUGGUUAGUACUUGGAUGGGAGACCGCCUGGGAAUCCAGGUGCUGUUGUAAGCU